UACGUAGGGUGCAAGCGUUAUUCGGAAUUACUGGGCGUAAAGCGUUCGUAGGUGGUGUGUUAAGUCUGAUGUGAAAUCCCCGGGCUCAACCUGGGAAUGGCAUUGGAUACUGGCUCGCUAGAGUGCGGUAGAGGGUGGUGGAAUUCCCGGUGUAGCAGUGAAAUGCGUAGAUAUCGGAAGGAACACCAGUGGCGAAAGCGGCUUCCUGGUCCAGCACCGACGUUCAGGCACGAAAGCGUGGGUAGCAAACAGG
rnacentral:rRNA from 1 species